CAAGUCGAACGAUGAUGCCAGCUUGCUGGUGGAUUAGUGGCGAACGGGUGAGUAACACGUGAGUAACCUGCCCUUAACUCUGGGAUAAGCCUGGGAAACUGGGUCUAAUACCGGAUAUGACUCCUCAUCGCAUGGUGGGGGGUGGAAAGCUUUAUUGUGGUUUUGGAUGGACUCGCGGCCUAUCAGCUUGUUGGUGAGGUAAUGGCUCACCAAGGCGACGACGGGUAGCCGGCCUGAGAGGGUGACCGGCCACACUGGGACUGAGACACGGCCCAGACUCCUACGGGAGGCAGCAGUGGGGAAUAUUGCACAAUGGGCGAAAGCCUGAUGCAGCGACGCCGCGUGAGGGAUGACGGCCUUCGGGUUGUAAACCUCUUUCAGUAGGGAAGAAGCGAAAGUGACGGUACCUGCAGAAGAAGCGCCGGCUAACUACGUGCCAGCAGCCGCGGUAAUACGUAGGGCGCAAGCGUUAUCCGGAAUUAUUGGGCGUAAAGAGCUCGUAGGCGGUUUGUCGCGUCUGCCGUGAAAGUCCGGGGCUCAACUCCGGAUCUGCGGUGGGUACGGGCAGACUAGAGUGAUGUAGGGGAGACUGGAAUUCCUGGUGUAGCGGUGAAAUGCGCAGAUAUCAGGAGGAACACCGAUGGCGAAGGCAGGUCUCUGGGCAUUAACUGACGCUGAGGAGCGAAAGCAUGGGGAGCGAACAGGAUUAGAUACCCUGGUAGUCCAUGCCGUAAACGUUGGGCACUAGGUGUGGGGGACAUUCCACGUUUUCCGCGCCGUAGCUAACGCAUUAAGUGCCCCGCCUGGGGAGUACGGCCGCAAGGCUAAAACUCAAAGGAAUUGACGGGGGCCCGCACAAGCGGCGGAGCAUGCGGAUUAAUUCGAUGCAACGCGAAGAACCUUACCAAGGCUUGACAUGAACCGGAAAUACCUGGAAACAGGUGCCCCGCUUGCGGUCGGUUUACAGGUGGUGCAUGGUUGUCGUCAGCUCGUGUCGUGAGAUGUUGGGUUAAGUCCCGCAACGAGCGCAACCCUCGUUCUAUGUUGCCAGCGCGUUAUGGCGGGGACUCAUAGGAGACUGCCGGGGUCAACUCGGAGGAAGGUGGGGACGACGUCAAAUCAUCAUGCCCCUUAUGUCUUGGGCUUCACGCAUGCUACAAUGGCCGGUACAAAGGGUUGCGAUACUGUGAGGUGGAGCUAAUCCCAAAAAGCCGGUCUCAGUUCGGAUUGGGGUCUGCAACUCGACCCCAUGAAGUCGGAGUCGCUAGUAAUCGCAGAUCAGCAACGCUGCGGUGAAUACGUUCCCGGGCCUUGUACACACCGCCCGUCAAGUCACGAAAGUUGGUAACACCCGAAGCCGGUGGC
rnacentral:rRNA from 1 species